rnacentral:lncRNA from 1 species
CCUGACUGGAGCUCAGCGAGCCGAAGGGGCUGGUGGAGAAGGGGCUGCUGGUCUGGGCAGCCUAGGUUGGGAGGGAGGGUCAUGGCGGGAGUGUGGAGGAGCAAGACAUCCCCACGCCCCCCGCCCCCUGCCCCAGACCCCAGUGUUGAUGAAUAAGAAGCGGAUUAAGAAGAGUGAGAGCUGAAGAGACAGGAGAAUCAGGGACCACGAGAGCCCGUGCAAGAUCCGGAGCACAGGGGCUUCCCUGGGUCCCAGGCUUUCUGCAGGACUCACCCCCAACUACCCCGGUGUCCUCCUUCCAGCCAGCCUCCCCGCGGGUCCUGAGAGGAGAGUUUCCUAAAGAGAAGGAAGAAACUCGGACUUCCCUCCUGUUAUGUUCGGGCUCCUCUGUGAGAAAGAGGAGGAGAGAGGAAAAUGAAGGGCCCAUUCUCUGUCCCCAGAGAGCCCCCAGGAAUGUUGGGAAGAUCUGCAAGGAUGAGCCUGAACCUAGAGCGUGACCUGUAGCUGGACCCUGUGGGAACUCACACGUGCCUCCAGGAAGGACAGUGAGCGGAGCAUACACACCAAUUCUACCGAACCCGUUCCCACGCACAGUCGCCCCCACCCCGUGGUUCCAGAACUGGUGGGUUCUUGAUCUCGCUGACUUCAAGCAUGAAGCCAUGAACCUUCACUGCCCUUUAAACUGUAUUAUGGGAGAAAUCCUUGCUUGCUUUAUGAGCUGAAAACUCAGGUAGGUCCCAUGUUUUUUCUGCUCACUC